UGCCGCGGUUAUACGAGUGGCCCAGGUUGACAGGUGUCGGCGUAAAGGGUGGUUAGAAUCAAAUCAAAUCAAAGUAAAGCCGAAAGCCUUUAGAGCCGUAAUAAGCCCAUAAAUGCAUGAAGCCCUCAUACAAAAGUAGCUUUACAACCUCUGACCCCACGAAAGCUAGGAGA
rnacentral:rRNA from 1 species